UACGUAGGUGGCGAGCGUUGUCCGGAAUUACUGGGCGUAAAGGAUGCGUAGGUGGAUACUUAAGUGGGAUGUGAAAUCCCCCGGGCGUCAACCCGGGAACCGUGCAUUCCAAACUAGGGUAGUCUAGAGUGCAGGAGAGGAAAGACGGAAUUCCUAGUGUAGCGGUGAAAUGCGUAGAUAUUAGGAGGAACACCAGUGGCGAAGGCGGCUUUCUGGACUGUAACUGACACUGAGGCAUGAAAGCGUGGGUAGCAAACAGGAUUAGAUACCCGGGUAGU
rnacentral:rRNA from 1 species